rfam:Octopus bimaculoides Scaffold19493_contig_64, whole genome shotgun sequence.
GUAUCUACGGUAUUACAUAUUUUAAAAUUGGAAGAUGAAGAGAUGACUAGCAUGAUACGUGCACAAGGAUGACAUGCAAAUACAUAGAUUUAUACAUGUAUAU